rnacentral:misc_RNA from 1 species
GAUAAGAACGUAGCGAAAUGCGAUACUUGGUGUGAAUUGCAGAAUCCCGUGAACCAUCGAGUCUUUGAACGCAAGUUGCGCCCGAAGCCAUUAGGCCGAGGGCACGCCUGCCUGGGCGUCACACGUUGUUGCCCCCCCAUCUACUCCUUCGGGAUUGCGGGGGGCGGAUGAUGGCCUCCCGUGCGCCUCGUCGCGCGGUUGGCAUAAAUGCCAAGUCCUCGGCGACGCACGCCACGACAAUCGGUGGUUGCGAAACCUCGGUUGCCCGUCGUGUGCGGUCGUCGCGCAUCGAGGGCUCGAAAAAAUUGUCGGGCUCCGGCUCGGCUUUCAACGCGACCCCAGGUCAGGCGGGGUUACCCGCUGAAUUUAAGCAUAUCAAUAAGCGGAGGA